UGUAGUUUAGUGGUAAAACUACAGCCUUCCAAGCUGUUGUCGCGAGUUCGAUUCUCGUCACCCG
rnacentral:tRNA from 1 species